AUUUUUACAAAAUUGAGUAUAAGAAAAGUGGCCGAAAUAUAGGUGUUAGUCUCUUAAAUUAAUUAUGAAGAAAUUA
rnacentral:tRNA from 1 species